rnacentral:tRNA from 1 species
GCCUCGGUGGCCUAGCUGGUUAGGGCAUCGCCUUGGUAAGGCGACGGUCGCGGGUUCAAAUCCCGCCCGGGGCUCCA